UAAUCGAACGUUUUAAUUAAAGCGCAAGCUAAUAAUUAAAAAGUGGUGUACAGGUGAGUAUAAUAAUAUUUUAUGCCGACCUUAGAGUGAAGAUAAAUUCUUCAUAUAAUAAAGGGAUUAAGUAUUCCCGCUUUAAGAGGACGAUAAAUAUUUUCGGGAUAGGUAGUAGUGAAGGUUAUGUCUUCACUAGCCUUAACUCUCGUAGUCGAAACUGAAAGGUUAAUCGACCACAUUGGGUCUGAAAAAAGCCCAAUGCAAGUUAGUACAGCAGUGAGGAAUAUUGGUCAAUGGCCUAACGGCUGAACUGGCAACUUGGAGAAGUGUUAAGUCUUUAUUUUUGUGCUAUAACUUAUGUUAUAGUAUGUUAAGCAAAAAUUAAAGAUUAAAUUAGUAUUGAAUGAAACUUUGUUUAUAUAUCGAUAAUGACGAUAUAUAUAUUAUGUCUUGACCAAUUACGUGCCAGCAGUCGCGGUAAUACGUAAGAGACUAGUGUUAUUCAUCUUAAUUAGGUUUAAAGGGUACUCAAACGGUCUGUUUCUAUUGAAAGACUAGAGUUAUAUAGAAGAAGGUAGUACCUUAAGUGUAGAGAUUAUAUUCGGUUAUACUGGAGGGACUUAGAAAAGGCGUAGGCAACCUUCUAGGUAAUAACUGACGUUGAAGGACGAAGGCAUAGGUCACGAACAGGAUUAGAUACCCAAGUAGUCUUUGCAGUCAAUGAUGAAUGCCAUAGGUUAGAUAAAAAUUUAGUCUAUAAAUGAAAGUGUAAGCAUUUCACCUCAAGAGUAAUGUGGCAACGCAGGAACUGAAAUCACUAGACCGUUUCUGACACCAGUAGUGAAGUAUGUUAUUUAAUC
rnacentral:rRNA from 1 species